rnacentral:misc_RNA from 1 species
UCGCUUACUUCCGGUAUACUUCCGGGAAAUUUGCAUAAAACUAGCAAGUGAGCUUUGUUCUCUGUACUUAUCUCAAGAUUGAAUGCUAGGUUGUAGCAAACAAAAAUGCAAUUUUCAAGUUUUGCGAGCAUCUUAAGUCCAGUCCUUAAUAAUGAGUUUUUAGGCGUGUCUAAUAGAUGGCGUGUUAAUUGUUUGUGUCAGUUUUGGGCUUAUGGCGGUUUGCUGUCAACAGUUAAGCUAUCUUUUCUUCGAAAAUUACCAAUGGAAUUACAGGAGAAAACGUGUUGAAAGGGUCGUGCAGCUUACUGCUGUGUGUUCAAAAUCAUUGUAUUCUACUGAAGGUGCCAUCAAAAUGAAACAGGAUUCAUCAUAAUUGUCUGCUGUUUGUAUUGGACUUGCUAGAUCGCCAAUCCCAGCCAUGCCCCAAUUUUGAGUGUUCUUCAUUACAGGUUUCUAACACAUUGGCAUGGCAGAUUUGAUGAGAAGUCAUAUUUAGAAGGAAAAGGACAAGGACCAUACAGUCAACAAGGUUCCUUGUUUGCUAACCCGUUGGCUGCUACCCUUCAAUCUCCCUGUUUACUUCCUUACACAGGUCCUAUUGAUUUGAGGGUAACUCUUUCGCUACUGAUGACAUCAACUGUU